AGGGAGAGCAGGAAGGAAAAAGAGAAGAGGAGGAAAAGAAAGAAGGCAUGAAUGGAGAGAACUGAAAAUAGUGGAAGAAGGAAGAAAGAAAGCCUUAUUCUCAAGACUCCGCCAGAUGCAGGACACUAUGUGAGAUGAUACGCCAUGGAGAUCUUGGGCAAGAAGCUGAGUGGAUGACCCCACCAUCACUUAGGUACGAUCCACUUCCUCUUCGGUAGUGGAGCUUUAUAGUAUGUUUCUCAGGCUGACCAUGUGGAGACAGA
rnacentral:lncRNA from 1 species